CUACGGGAUGCUACAGUGGGGAAUAUUGCACAAUGGAGGAAACUCUGAUGCAGCAACGCCGCGUGGAGGAUGACACUUUUCGGAGCGUAAACUCCUUUUAUAUAGGAAGAAGAUGACGGUACUAUAUGAAUAAGCGCCGGCUAACUCCGUGCCAGCAGCCGCGGUAAUACGGAGGGCGCAAGCGUUACUCGGAAUCACUGGGCGUAAAGAGCGUGUAGGCGGAUUAAAAAGUCAGAAGUGAAAUCCUAUAGCUUAACUAUAGAACUGCUUCUGAAACUCUUAAUCUAGAAUAUGGGAGAGGUAGAUGGAAUUUCUGGUGUAGGGGUAAAAUCCGUAGAGAUCAGAAGGAAUACCGAUUGCGAAGGCGAUCUACUAGAACAUUAUUGACGCUGAGACGCGAAGGCGUGGGGAGCAAACAGGAUUAGAUACCCCAGUAGUC
rnacentral:rRNA from 1 species